GUGGUCGUAGCUCAGCGGCAGAGCAGCGGUCUCCAAAACCGUGUGUCGCGGGUUCGAGUCCCGCCGAUCAUGCCA
rnacentral:tRNA from 2 species